AUACGUAGGGGGCGAGCGUUGUCCGGAAUGAUUGGGCGUAAAGGGCGCGUAGGCGGCCCGGUAAGUCUGGAGUGAAAGUCCUGUUUUUAAGAUGGGAAUUGCUUUGGAUACUGUCGGGCUUGAGUGCAGGAGAGGUAAGUGGAAUUCCCAGUGUAGCGGUGAAGGGCGUAGAGAUUGGGAGGAACACCAGUGGCGAAGGCGACUUACUGGACUGUAACUGACGCUGAGGCGCGAAAGUGUGGGGAGCAAACAGGAUUAGAUACCCUGGUAGUCCACACUGUAAACGAUGAAUGCUAGGUGUAGGGGGUAUCGACCCCUUCUGUGCCGCAGUCAACACAAUAAGCAUUCCGCCUGGGGAGUACGGCCGCAAGGUUGAAACUCAAAUGAAUUGACGGGG
rnacentral:rRNA from 1 species